GACAGAGGUGCCGAGCGUUAGGCGGAAUCACUGGGCUUAAAGCGUGUGUAGGCGGGUCGUUAAGUGCCUUGUGAAAUCCCACAGCUCACCUGUGGAACUGCUUGGCAUACUGGCGAUCUUGAGCCACUUAGGGGCAACCGGAACAAACGGUGGAGCGGUGAAAUGCGUAGAUAUCGUUUGGAACGCCAAUGGUGAAAACAGGUUGCUGGGAGUGCGCUGACGCUGAGACGCGAAAGCGUGGGGAGCGAACAGG
rnacentral:rRNA from 1 species